rnacentral:rRNA from 1 species
UACGUAGGGGGCAAGCGUUGUCCGGAAUCAUUGGGCGUAAAGAGCGCGUAGGCGGCCCUGUAAGUCCGCUGUGAAAGUCAAGGGCUCAACCCUUGGAUGCCGGUGGAUACUGCAGGGCUAGAGUCCGGAAGAGGCGAGUGGAAUUCCUGGUGUAGCGGUGAAAUGCGCAGAUAUCAGGAGGAACACCAAUAGCGAAGGCAGCUCGCUGGGACGUUACUGACACUGAGGCGCGAAAGCGUGGGGAGCGAACAGG